GUAGCAAGGUUAACCGAAUAGGGGAGCCGGAGGGAAACCGAGUCUUAAUUGGGCGUUAAGUUGCAGGGUAUAGACCCGAAACCCGGUGAUCUAGCCAUGGGCAGGUUGAAGGUUGGGUAACACUAACUGGAGGACCGAACCGACUAAUGUUGAAAAAUUAGCGGAUGACCUGUGGCUGGGGGUGAAAGGCCAAUCAAACCGGGAGAUAGCUGGUUCUCCCCGAAAGCUAUUUAGGUAGCGCCUCGUGAAUUCAUCUCCGGGGGUAGAGCACUGUUUCGGCUAGGGGGCCAUCCCGGCUUACCAACCCGAUGCAAACUGCGAAUACCGGAGAAUGUUAUCACGGGAGACACACGGCGGGUGCUAACGUCCGUCGUGAAGAGGGAAACAACCCAGACCGCCAGCUAAGGUCCCAAAGUCAUGGUUAAGUGGGAAACGAUGUGGGAAGGCCCAGACAGCCAGGAUGUUGGCUUAGAAGCAGCCAUCAUUUAAAGAAAGCGUAAUAGCUCACUGGUCGAGUCGGCCUGCGCGGAAGAUGUAACGGGGCUAAACCAUGCACCGAAGCUGCGGCAGCGAACGUAUCACCCAAGACAACUUUACGGAGUUGACGAUUGACGGAGCGAAGCGACGUCAAAGCGUUCAUUAAAGUCGAGUUGGCUUAGGGAUACGUUCGUUGGGUAGGGGAGCGUUCUGUAAGCCUGUGAAGGUGUGUCGUGAGGCAUGCUGGAGGUAUCAGAAGUGCGAAUGCUGACAUAAGUAACGAUAAAGCGGGUGAAAAGCCCGCUCGCCGGAAGACCAAGGGUUCCUGUCCAACGUUAAUCGGGGCAGGGUGAGUCGACCCCUAAGGCGAGGCCGAAAGGCGUAGUCGAUGGGAAACGGGUUAAUAUUCCCGUACUUGGUGUUACUGCGAAGGGGGGACGGAGAAGGCUAUGUUGGCCGGGCGACGGUUGUCCCGGUUUAAGCGUGUAGGUGUGUGUUCCAGGUAAAUCCGGUUC
rnacentral:rRNA from 1 species